AACGAAAUUAUCUUGCCCAUAAGCUCCUAAUCAAAGCCCAGCCAUCACAAACAACAAAUCAGAAGCAUCAAAGCCAAAAAAAUCAAAAAUCGAAGCUAGAAAAGGUAUGAAAUUCCCUAAUUUUGAAAUCCUUCGAUUCGAUGUUAAUUGAUGCAAUUGAUUGUUUAAAGUAGUGUAAUAGGGAGUCUAUUAAUGUUCUGGGUUGUAAAAACACAGACCCAUAACAUCAAAGUGCACGAAUUUGAAGAUUUAAACAAGUUGGAAAAACCGAAUUCUGUUAUUUUUCACCAAAUGUCAGAGGCUAUAACUCUUUGGUAGAUCACGAGUUUUGUUCUUUAAAAGUUGUUAUAGGUAUCCUGAUAUGUGGUAUUUAAUCCCCAAAAGGAAUCAAGUUCAUAUCUAUUGUAGAUCGGGAUUCAUAAGCGGUCAAAGUGGGUUGACCGACAUUGACCGGCUGUUCUUCAAACCCAGAAAAUAUUCUAAGUGUCCAGAAAAUAUUUUUUUGGAAAAUGUCAGUCCUUAUAUCUAUCUCGGUUAUCUUUACUGUGUUUUGUGUUCUAAAGGUUGUUAUGUGUAGCGUGUUAUGUGGUAUUUAACCUCCAAAACGAAUCGGGUCCAUAUAUAUUAUGGAUUAAGAGUUAUUUAAGGUCAAAGUGGGUUGACCGACAUUGACCGGAAAAUUCUGGGCAGCCCAGAAUUUUCUAAGUGUUGAUUUUUCUGACAAGGUUUGACCAUACUUUAUCUGCUUGAUUUCUUGUU
rnacentral:lncRNA from 1 species